CUAAGAAUAUUCCGCAAUGGACGGAAGUCUGACGGAGCGACGCCGCGUGGAUGAAGAAGGCCGAAAGGUUGUAAAGUUCUUUUGCUAGGGGAGAAUAAGUGAGGGAGGGAAUGCCCUCAUGAUGACAAGGACUAGCGAAUAAGCCCCGGCCAACUACGUGCCAGCAGCCGCGGUACAACGUAGGGGGCGAGCGUUGUUCGGAAUUACUGGGCGUAAAGGGCAUGUAGGCGGCUUGGUAAGCCUGGCGUGAAAGACUGCAGCUUAACUGUAGGGAUGCGUUGGGAACUGCUUAGCUUGAGUGACGGAGAGGGAGCUGGAAUUCCUGGUGUAGCGGUGAAAUCUGUAGAUAUCAGGAAGAACACCGAUGGCGAAGGCAAGCUUCUGGUCGAUAACUGACGCUGAGGUGCGAAAGUGUGGGGAUCAAACA
rnacentral:rRNA from 1 species